rnacentral:rRNA from 1 species
UACGGAGGGUGCAAGCGUUACUCGGAAUACUGGGCGUAAAGCGUGCGCAGGCGGUUAUGUAAGACAGGUGUGAAAUCCCCGGGCUUAACCUGGGAACUGCAUUUGUGACUGCAUAGCUAGAGUACGGUAGAGGGGGAUGGAAUUCCGCGUGUAGCAGUGAAAUGCGUAGAUAUGCGGAGGAACACCGAUGGCGAAGGCAAUCCCCUGGACCUGUACUGACGCUCAUGCACGAAAGCGUGGGGAGCAAACGAGG